rnacentral:rRNA from 1 species
UUGAACGCUGGCGGUAUGCUUAACACAUGCAAGUCGAACGGAAACGAUACUAGCUUGCUAGUAGGCGUCGAGUGGCGGACGGGUGAGUAACGCGUAGGAAUCUACCUGAUAGUGGGGGAUAGCCCGAAGAAAUUCGGAUUAAUACCGCAUAAUCUAUUCGUAGUAAAGUGGGGGACUUUCGAGCCUCACGCUAUCAGAUGAGCCUGCGUAAGAUUAGCUAGUUGGUAGGGUAAAAGCCUACCAAGGCUACGAUCUUUAGCUGGUCUGAGAGGAUGAUCAGCCACAUCGGGACUGAGACACGGCCCGAACUCCUACGGGAGGCAGCAGUGGGGAAUAUUGGACAAUGGGGGCAACCCUGAUCCAGCAAUACCGCGUGUGUGAAGAAGGCCUGAGGGUUGUAAAGCACUUUCAAUUGUGAAGAAAAGCUAGUGGUUAAUAGCCAUUAGCCUUGACGUUAACUUUAGAAGAAGCACCGGCUAACUCCGUGCCAGCAGCCGCGGUAAUACGGAGGGUGCAAGCGUUAAUCGGAAUUACUGGGCGUAAAGCGUGCGUAGGCGGUUUAUUAAGUCAGAUGUGAAAGCCCCGGGCUUAACCUGGGAACUGCAUUUGAAACUGGUCAACUAGAGUAUGGUAGAGGAAAGUGGAAUUUCUGGUGUAGCGGUGAAAUGCGUAGAUAUCAGAAGGAACAUCAAUGGCGAAGGCAACUUUCUGGACCAAUACUGACGCUGAGGUACGAAAGCGUGGGGUAGCAAACAGGAUUAGAUACCCUGGUAGUCCACGCCGUAAACGAUGAUAACUAGCCGUUGGGGGGAUUUACCCCUUAGUGGCGAAGCUAACGCGUUAAGUUAUCCGCCUGGGGAGUACGGCCGCAAGGUUAAAACUCAAAGGAAUUGACGGGGACCCGCACAAGCGGUGGAGCAUGUGGUUUAAUUCGAUGCAACGCGAAGAACCUUACCUGGUCUUGACAUCCUGAGAACUUUCUAGAAAUAGAUUGGUGCCUUCGGGAACUCAGUGACAGGUGCUGCAUGGCUGUCGUCAGCUCGUGUCGUGAGAUGUUGGGUUAAGUCCCGUAACGAGCGCAACCCCUAUCCUUAUUUGCCAGCACAUCAUGGUGGGAACUAUAAGGAGACUGCCGGUGAUAAACCGGAGGAAGGCGGGGACGACGUCAAGUCAUCAUGGCCCUUACGACCAGGGCUACACACGUGCUACAAUGGGAAGGACAAAGAGCCGCGAAGCCGCGAGGUGUAGCUAAUCUCAGAAACCUUUUCGUAGUCCGGAUUGGAGUCUGCAACUCGACUCCAUGAAGUCGGAAUCGCUAGUAAUCGUAGAUCAGAAUGCUACGGUGAAUACGUUCCCGGGUCUUGUACUCACCGCC